rnacentral:lncRNA from 1 species
GGCAGGAAGGUCGCUGUGUGAACUCCGCGAGGACUUAGGGCUGGCAGGCUGCAGGCUCAUUCCUGCAGGAUGUGGGUUUCAGGGGGCGGUUUUGAUGUAUUUAAUUCCGACCAUGAAACAACCACUCGGGCUGGCUGCAUAGCUGUUGGUGCCCCCGCCCCCCGUGGCUUGGGUUGGUUUUGGUGUCCUUUGGAAGCGAACUUGUUUGAGAUUAACACUGGGGACGGAGUGGGGUGCGCACCCCUCAACCCGGAGACCCGGGCACUGGACAGGACUCUGUCUCACCCCAGUGCGGGUGCCCAGCUCCGGGCGGGCGGCCUCGGCCCUUCUCCCUGUGUGGCCUGGACUCAGUCCCGCUGCGCCCUUGGCGAGUCGGGGAAGGAGGUGGCGGGCGAGGGUGCUCCGGACGAGGCCAGGCAGGGGGAGGCGAACCUGCGACUCGCCGGCCCGUGUCCCCCGCGUCUCCGGAGGCCCGGGGCGCGGGCACCUUCGGUUGAACGGAAGAGGAGCGGGGAGCGAGGGAGGCGGCAGUUUGUGUCUCGGGGCUCUUCCGCCCCUUCUCGCCUCCUCCUAAGACAGACAGACGCCACCCCACCUGGGGCCGAGCGGGAACUGUGGGACCGUGAUUCGGUCCCCAGGUCCAGACGCCCGGCCUCGGGGGAGGACACGGUCCCAGCCCGCGUGGGCACCGCGUGGGACCGGGCACGGGGCUGCCAGGGCUGGGUCCCCUCUGGCCCCGGCCUGGGACACCGCGGGCCUGGGGCGGCGGGCCCCUUUGUGUGA